CUGUACCUGGAAAAUCUCACAAAUAUAAAAAUCACGGUUUUUUUUUUAUAGUUAUUUUAUGUUCAAAAUUGAAGGAAAUUACUUAUUAAAUAACGUCAGAUGUGAUUAAACAGAAAUCUAUGGCAUUCUGGCGGUAAUACCCGAUUGAACCGUCACGGGUGUUCACUGGUGAUUUAUCUUCACUGAAUGACCAAUUAACUGACCGUCGCCGUGAAAUACAUGGUCGUAUACAAUAUGGUCGUUAACUUGUGGAAGGGCACUCUGAGAAAUUUUGGUUCAAAUAAGGCAUCGCGCAAUAAUGAACCCCUGAUGUAUUUCUGUUUAAAAAUAACCAACGAUAUGAUGGAACAAAUAUUAAGAGUUGUACUAAAAACUUAAUAAUAUUUUGAAGCUAAUGGAGAAUAAUUGGAGAAAAUUGAAAGUUUUUUUUAUAUUUUUUGAUAUCUCGCAGUAAAAAAAAAUCAACACAAAUUCUUAUGGAGCAGAAUUUAAACAUUUUAAAAUUACUUAUAACUAAAAAAUUACAAAGGAAUCUACUUAGGAACCUAUAGAUGCUAAAUCAUUGCCACACCUAUAAAAAAUAUACUUCUUACAUAUAUGCGAUCAUGUAUAUGACGGCGACGGUCAGAUAAUUGGUCAUUCAGUGAAGAUACAUCACCAGUGAAAACCCGUGACGGUUCAAUCGGGUAUUACCGCCAUAUCACCAUAGAUUUCUAUUUGAUCGUAUCUGACGAGAAACGUACAACUAUUGAUUAUGAAAACUAAUAUAUUAAACACAUAUAAUAAUUACAAUUAUAAAUAAAUGGUACAACGCACACUAU